GCUAAAUUAAACUUUAUGUCUCAGUUAGUAGAGAUACCAAUUAGAGAAGUUGUCUGGGUCCAGUAAUAGAAAACAAUGCUGAACCAUUUUCAAACAUUGACAAUUGGAAGCACUUAGAUCAUCACACUAGGACCGCAAUAUAGUGUAACAUGAAAUCACCUGAAAACCAAUUACAAAUUAUGGGCUUCACUGGAAAACUUUAAUUUAAAAAGACAAGUACAAACAGG